CCAUCUCCCAUGCUGUGAGCUGCUGGCCUUCCUUUUGCAUGCUCUGACUGUCACUAGAAAACUGCAAGAGAACACAGUCACGUGAUCCAGGAGGCAAUCUGUCCAGGAAGUAUGGACUCCAGAAACCUACAACGAGCUCCACACCUUCUUAUCCAGGUGGCAUAGUGCCUCUACUCACUCUGUUAAGCUGUGGUUUAUAGGGCAAGCUUUGUGGGUUUGCAAGAGUCCUUGGAUGCCUUGGGAAAUGUUCUGCAAAAGCGAGCUUUCUCUCCAUGUGUUCUGCACUCCAGCCACCAGGUCCUGAAAUCUCUGUGCACAGGAUUUCCCCUAUUAAAAUGGAG
ensembl:lncRNA